UAAACACGGAGCCUCUCUGCCGGAGCUGGGGCUCCGAGAACGGGGUGUCCUGAGCCCGCCAGAGAGAGCCUGUUACACAAAGUCACUCCCUCCGUGUCCAGGGCUCGCAUGAUUAGAUCCCUGGCCGCAGCCCAGUCUUCCCUGAGGAAGCAACGCAUGACGGACGAACAGGCUCUUUCUGAUUUGGUCAUCAUGGGUGUUUUGUGAAAGAAAAUCCUGGAAGAUGGCUUUAGUGUGCGGGAGAACAAAGGAUCCAGGCAGAAGAUCGUCUGGGAGAAGGUGGCCCCCAUGCCAUGAGGACACACAAGCCGCGCUGUGGGGACACACACCUAGAGAAGAACUGGGAGCUCCCACCAAUAACCAGCACCAACUUGCCAGUCAGGUGAGUGAGGCAUCUUGGAAGUGGCUCCUCCAUCCCCAGUCGAGCCUGCAGAUGAUGCAGCCCCACCCAAC